UAUUAGGAUUAAAAAUAAAAGAAAAUUGGUUAUUAUCAUAACAAACGUUCCUUAACUAAGGACAAUUAACAAACGUCCUUAUGAACACGUGUCUCUUUUUCUUUCCACAUAGAUUCUCUCUCUCGACGGAAAUCAGUGUUCUCCCACUGUAAUCACUCCGGCCACCACCGCUGCCCUCCCUUUCCCAGUUCCCUCUAUUAGUCGUAACAGUGGUAUCAAAACCUUUCAUCCUCAGAAUCUAUGGCAGAGAUCGGCGAUUUUAUUAGGGCUUGGCGAACAGAAUCAAUGGAGGAAACUGCUAUCGAGCGGAAUCAAUGGCGUAGACUUAGGGUUGUCGAAGACAGGAAUCGAAGACAGGAAUCGCACCUUUCGUCCUCUCACGGUUUUGAAAUCGAGAGGACAGAAGCUCGAGACUAGGCUGUUGGAAAUUGCAGAAGAAAAAGUAUGAUUCGAAACGUUUUUCAGAAGUGGAAGUGGUUUGAUUGGAAGUGUUCUUUGCAGGAGGUUGAUGAGUUCAUAAUUGAGUUGCCUAGAUCUUUUGACGGUAAAGAGACGGUUCAGUCUAAUAAAGUUCGAUCUGUCGCCGAAAGGCUUGCAGUUCAAGCUGCUGAGAGGUGAAGGGUACUCACACAGAUACGUAGAUUGACGAAAUGUGAUCGAAGUUGUAAACUUUAUGGGAGGUUUUUACAGGGGUUGGAGGGUUUAUGUAUUGGAUGAACAUGGGACAUCAUCAGAAGCUUCAGAUAGAAUGAUUGUAAUGUUAGUUCCUCUUCUCAUUCUUUCUCUAUUAUUGGUUAUUUGUGUGUGGAUGAUUUGAACUUGAUGAUGUUUGAACAUUCAUGGGACUUGGCAAGAGUGAAAGGCAGAGCAGAGAAGACGCAUACACUACUGUGAUAUUGUUGGAGAGGUAUUUCUCUACACAAGGUCUAUGAGCCGAGAUUAUACUUCCCAAGAGUUUAGACCUCCAAGAGAAGAUCAAGAACACUGCACCUAAAGACCCUGACUUUUUACCUGGAAAGCUCGAAGAGUAUUACAGAUUCUAGCUCAUUGUUUCAUGAGGUUUCAUUUAUUUCAGUUCUUUUUUGUACUUCUUGGCAGCUAUAUACUCCUUCACAUAAGCACAUUACUUCUCACCAAA